AUACGUAGGGUGCGAGCGUUGUCCGGAAUUACUGGGCGUAAAGAGCUCGUAGGUGGUUUGUCGCGUCGUCUGUGAAAUUCCGGGGCUUAACUCCGGGCGUGCAGGCGAUACGGGCAUAACUUGAGUACUGUAGGGGAGACUGGCAUUCCUGGUGUAGCGGUGAAAUGCGCAGAUAUCAGGAGGAACACCGGUGGCGAAGGCGGGUCUCUGGGCAGUAACUGACGCUGAGGAGCGAAAGCAUGGGUAGCGAACAGGAUUAGAUACCCUGGUAGUCCAUGCCGUAAACGGUGGGCGCUAGGUGUAGGGGUCUUCCACGACUUCUGUGCCGUAGCUAACGCAUUAAGCGCCCCGCCUGGGGAGUACGGCCGCAAGGCUAAAACUCAAAGGAAUUGACGGGG
rnacentral:rRNA from 1 species